UACCAAGGCGACGAUCCGUAGCGGGUCUGAGAGGAUGAUCCGCCACACUGGGACUGAGACACGGCCCAGACUCCUACGGGAGGCAGCAGUGGGGAAUUUUGGACAAUGGGCGCAAGCCUGAUCCAGCCAUGCCGCGUGAGUGAAGAAGGCCUUCGGGUUGUAAAGCUCUUUCGGCGGGGAAGAAAUUGCACGGGUUAAUACCCUGUGUAGAUGACGGUACCCGAAUAAGAAGCACCGGCUAACUACGUGCCAGCAGCCGCGGUAAUACGUAGGGUGCGAGCGUUAAUCGGAAUUACUGGGCGUAAAGCGUGCGCAGGCGGUUUGGUAAGUCAGAUGUGAAAUCCCCGGGCUCAACCUGGGAACUGCAUUUGAGACUGCCAGGCUGGAGUUUGGCAGAGGGGGGUGGAAUUCCACGUGUAGCAGUGAAAUGCGUAGAGAUGUGGAGGAACACCGAUGGCGAAGGCAGCCCCCCUGGGCCAAUACUGACGCUCAUGCACGAAAGCGUGGGGAG
rnacentral:rRNA from 1 species